CAGCUAUUUGCAUGCUUAAUUAAUGCAUUUGCCUAAUUUGCAUAUGUCAGCAAUAUGCAAAUUAGGUAAAGGCAUUAAUUAAGCAUGCGAAAGGCUGAUUUUUUAGAACAAAAUGAAUAGUUAAAGGCUUAAACUAAACCAAAUUGUCUGAAAUUUUGUACAGUAAUUAAAAUCCCGACAAAUUUUCCAUCUGUUAACUCAAAAUAUAAUUGCAGCUUUUAAAUUUUGUGCGCGAGCCAUUUUUAGUUUGUUGGAAAAGACACACCCCCCUGGUUCACAAAAUUUGAGUUCGAGAAAUUUUUUUCAUUAUUCUACAUUAUAAAUACCCAACGAAGCUAUAUAUAUAAAAAACCGGAUACAAAUAGGUGUUUUGCGAAAUUGAGAGCAAUUUCAAAUCUGUUCAGUUUUUUUUGAUACACCCUGUAUAGUUCAUUAAUGCCCAACGUAAGACGACCAGUUAAAAACCAUAAACGUUUUGUUAAUAGACACUAUUAUGGUAUCAUUUAGGCUUAUUAUCAGUUGUAUCCUCUAAAUGUAGUUUGUUCAUAUUAAUAAUAUUAACUAUGGUUCAUGAGAAAACAAUUUUUAUUUGAGACGUUUAAUAAACGUUUAUUCUUAGUCCUGCCUAGAUUUUCCAUUACAGACCCCAUACACACAAUUUCAAAUUGGUUCCAAUACUAUUUGCUGUUAUAGCUGCGGAGGGGAAUCAGCGCAAUGCAUUGCAACACCAUCACUUCUCUGAUGGAUGGAACAUGUAGUGCAACAUAUUACAUAUUGUGCAAC